ACUGAAACACCUGUUCUCAUACGAUUACCAAAGUUAAACAACAUUGAGCUUGGUCAGUGCCUAGAUGGGUGACUGCUUGGGAAUACCAGGUACUGUAAG